GGCUCAGAACGAACGCUGGCGGCGUGCCUAACACAUGCAAGUCGAACGUGAUCUACCCUUCGGGGUAGUGAAAGUGGCGCACGGGUGAGUAAUGCGUAGAUAAUCUGCCCAAUGCUCUGGGAUAACAUCUCGAAAGGGGUGCUAAUACCGGAUAAGCCCACGGGGUCUUCGGACCCUGCGGGAAAAGAGGGGGACCUUCGGGCCUCUUGACAUCGGAUGAGUCUACGUACCAUUAGCUAGUUGGUAGGGUAAAGGCCUACCAAGGCGACGAUGGUUAGCUGGUCUGAGAGGAUGAUCAGCCACACUGGAACUGAGACACGGUCCAGACUCCUACGGGAGGCAGCAGUGGGGAAUUUUGCGCAAUGGGGGAAACCCUGACGCAGCAACGCCGCGUGAGUGAUGAAGGCCUUCGGGUCGUAAAGCUCUGUCAGAGGGAAAGAAAUGCGGGGUGCUAAUAUCACUUCCGCUUGACGGUACCCUCAAAGGAAGCACCGGCUAACUCCGUGCCAGCAGCCGCGGUAAUACGGAGGGUGCGAGCGUUGUUCGGAAUUAUUGGGCGUAAAGCGCGUGUAGGCGGUUUUGUAAGUCUGAUGUGAAAGCCCCGGGCUCAACCUGGGAAGUGCAUUGGAUACUGCAAGACUUGAGUACGGGAGAGGGCAGUGGAAUUCCUAGUGUAGGAGUGAAAUCCGUAGAUAUUAGGAGGAACACCGGUGGCGAAGGCGGCUGCCUGGACCGAUACUGACGCUGAGACGCGAAAGCGUGGGGAGCAAACAGGAUUAGAUACCCUGGUAGUCCACGCCGUAAACGAUGAGUACUAGGUGUUGCGGGUAUUGACCCCUGCAGUGCCGCAGCUAACGCAUUAAGUACUCCGCCUGGGAAGUACGGUCGCAAGACUAAAACUC
rnacentral:rRNA from 1 species